UAGGGAAUUUUGGGCAAUGGGCGAAAGCCUGACCCAGCAACGCCGCGUGUGGGAUGAAGGCCCUCGGGUCGUAAACCACUGUCAGGAGGAAAGAAAAGUCGGCCGGAUAAUACUCGGUCGACCUGACGGUACCUCCAAAGGAAGCACCGGCUAACUCCGUGCCAGCAGCCGCGGUAAUACGGAGGGUGCAAGCGUUGUUCGGAAUUACUGGGCGUAAAGCGCGUGUAGGUGGUCGAGUAAGUCGAAUGUGAAAGCCCCGGGCUCAACCCGGGAAUUGCAUUUGAGACUGCACGGCUAGAGUGUGUCAGAGGGGGGUAGAAUUCCACGUGUAGCAGUGAAAUGCGUAGAUAUGUGGAGGAAUACCGAUGGCGAAGGCAGCCCCCUGGGAUAACACUGACGCUCAUGCACGAAAGCGUGGGGAGCAAACAGGAUUAGAUACCCCCGUAGUCCCUGAGCGGGCUGGCAAGGCGCAU
rnacentral:rRNA from 1 species